CCUACGGGAGGCAGCAGUGAGGAAUAUUGGUCAAUGGGCGAGAGCCUGAACCAGCCAAGUCGCGUGAAGGAUGAAGGAUCUAUGGUUUGUAAACUUCUUUUAUAUGGGAAUAAAGUGAGGAACGUGUUCCUUUUUGUAUGUACCUUAUGAAUAAGCAUCGGCUAACUCCGUGCCAGCAGCCGCGGUAAUACGGAGGAUGCGAGCGUUAUCCGGAUUUAUUGGGUUUAAAGGGUGCGUAGGUGGUUAAUUAAGUCAGCGGUGAAAGUUUGUGGCUCAACCAUAAAAUUGCCGUUGAAACUGGUUGUCUUGAGUAUAGUUGAGGUAGGCGGAAUGCGUGGUGUAGCGGUGAAAUGCAUAGAUAUCACGCAGAACUCCGAUUGCGAAGGCAGCUUACUAAACUAUAACUGACACUGAAGCACGAAAGCGUGGGGAUCAAACAGGAUUAGAUACCCUAGUAGUC
rnacentral:rRNA from 1 species